rnacentral:rRNA from 1 species
CCUACGGGGGGCAGCAGUAGGGAAUCUUCCACAAUGGGCGAAAGCCUGAUGGAGCAACGCCGCGUGGGUGAAGAAGGUCUUCGGAUCGUAAAACCCUGUUGUUAGAGAAGAAAGUGCGUGAGAGUAACUGUUCACGUUUCGACGGUAUCUAACCAGAAAGCCACGGCUAACUACGUGCCAGCAGCCGCGGUAAUACGUAGGUGGCAAGCGUUAUCCGGAUUUAUUGGGAGUAAAGGGAACGCAGGCGGUCUUUUAAGUCUGAUGUGAAAGCCUUCGGCUUAACCGGAGUAGGGCAUUGGAAACUGGGAGACUGGAGUGCAGAAGAGGAGAGUGGAACUCCAUGUGUAGCGGUGAAAUGCGUAGAUAUAUGGAAGAACACCAGUGGCGAAAGCGGCUCUCUGGUCUGUAACUGACGCUGAGGUUCGAAAGCGUGGGUAGCAAACAGGAUUAGAUACCCCUGUAGUC